rnacentral:lncRNA from 1 species
GUCCUAGUUCUAACUUCUCUGCUCCCUAAUCUAAUCUGACAUGCCUUCAGAAUAUUUCACUUUUUCGAUGACCAAUCUUCCAGUUUCUACCCAAUACUUAACCCCACAACAUAGUAACAGAGUUAAUGAUUUUCUUAUGUGGCAGAUAUGAAUAGGAACAGUAUUCAUAUCAAAGACAACUGGUCCCACUUCCAGGUCCAUCUUUGGGCCAAAAUAUGUAGUCGCCAACAGUGAGUUGGCUACUGUAUUUUUUGAGUCCUGGCGCAAAGUAAGAUCCAUCUGUUUUGCCCAGCCGUUUGCCUGAGCGCCACAAAAUGGUCCUGUUAUUAGUCUUAGUUGUGGUCCUAUUUGAGGUUAGGGGAUAACGUAAAUAAACUUCAGUCCUCCUUGUGAUGAAUGUGACACGGGAAUUAAAAGUGGUGGUUUUGGUACUGGUAAGUGAUGUUGCGUCUCUAUUUUCUCAAUUGCUCUGUUUUCUUUGGAUUGGGAAACAGACAUUUAAGAAUGAGUUUGUCAUCUGGAAGGAAAGUUGUGACCAAGUUUCCCUCAACAGGAUACAAGAUGUUAUUUUUGAGCUUCAUUACCCUCACCAAAGGGAAAAAAAAGAGAGAGAGAGGGAAAAAAUAAAUAAGGAAGAAAAGAAGUGAAGAGAAGGGUCAAAGAAGAGAAAGAGGAGUGACAUGAAAAGAGGAGAAUGUAACUGAGUAGACUUUCUAUUCAUAGAAACUGCUUUAUUAUUUUGAACUAAGAAUUCAAUUCACUCAACAUCUGGUGAAUUAAGGAAAAGGAAAUCUGACUGAUUAAAUUGAACUGCUAGUUGUCAGUUAAGUAGUUUAUAUAUAAAUAUGCAGCCUAGUUUCCAUCACCUUCUCUUGUCUGAAGUAGAAGUGAAUCAGUUUCACUAACCAUAUGUGAUCGGUGAGUAGAACAAUACUAAUUGGUGAUUCAGAUUUAGAUAGAGGUGGGCAGUUUUUAUAUUUCUGAAUCAUUUAUUGGGGAUUAUUGUUAAUUCCAUAUUAUUUCUGAGCAUGAGUUAUUUUUGUCAGUUUCUUUUAUGAAUGUUUUGUUGCCUUAUAAGGAAAUAUGUGCACUCCCCUCCUCUCAUUCAGUUGUCCCUGGUGACGCCUCCAUAAUUUCUGUCUUUAUACUGGUGCAUUUUUAGUCUAAUUCAGGCCUGUGAGAAGCAGGAGAAAAGUUUAGUUAGUCAGUGUCAGUGAUUUUUUUGGGAUCCAUUCAUGGAUAGAUCUAGUGAAUCUGAACCAGUUUAACUUGAAAUCUAUAUCCAUCAAAUAGACACAAUACCUAAAAUAUUCUUCUGUAUACUUCAAGAGCAAAAGAAAAUAGAAUUCACAAAUAAGACCUAGAUGUAUUUUCUAAAAAUAUAUGUGAUUUCAGGGCUGAUUUAUGAUCAUGCUCUCAUAUGUGGAGAUAUUAAGUUACUACCUUGCAUUACUAUGAGGGUGGACAUAAACAUACCACAUUCAAUGCUACAAAUAUUGCCAUGCUGUAAGAAGAAAGAUAAUUGUAUUAUAUCUGUUUUACAGUAAAAAGAUAUAUAUUUUUGUAAAUCCUAUUGUGUCAGUUGUUUGAAGCCAAAAAUAGGGAUGACUUAAUCCAGUCUGCUUUUUUUUUAAACUAUUGUCUUAUUUAUAGAUGGUGUUAUAUGAAGUAAGAAAGGAUUGAUAAAAUUAGUAUGAUGUUUUCAUCCCAAAUAUUUAUGACAUAUUUGGAGAUUUUAAUGCCUGAACUCUUAAUUCAAAGAUUAAAAAUACAUAUUAAAGUGUUUUUACAGUUAUUUAAACCAGGAGGGCUGGUUCAAACCCUGAUGGUUUUCCUGUGCUACUUCAAACAGCAGUGGCUGCAUGUGACAAGCUAUACAAUGUGAUGUGGAAUGGAGCACACUAAACCCAGAAUACCUUGCAGGGGCAUUUUGUAUUGCUAAAUAUGUUUGUUUACCUCUAUUUUGCCAUUUGCCCUACCACCAAUUCAGUCAUUUGAAAGUAGUAGAUCUAACAUUUUUUUCCCAAUUUUAUUUGAAGUUAUAAUUUCCUUUUAACAUUUGUAUUCAGAUCAUAGAUUUUCUUCUUUAUUCUCUGAAAUAACAUUUUAUAUAAUUGUGAGGCUUUGAGAUUGUUUAGGAGGUUUUUUUUUUUUUACUUUUUAAAUCAGAAUAUGACUAAAAUUCAGAAGCUUCUAGUCAUAUCAUUAUAAAGUCCUUAACACGGAGGCAUAUUUUGUUUUUCAGAAUUGCUUUUUUUCCUUUUUAGAUCCUUUUCAUUAAAAAACUACUCUGGGAAGAGGAUUUUUUUUCCCCCU